GAUGAACGCUGGCGGCGUGCUUAACACAUGCAAGUCGAACGGAAAGGCGCUGCUCUUGCUGGGUGCUCGUGUGGCGCACGGGUGUGUAACACGUGAGUAACCUGCCCUUGACUUUGGGGUAACUCCAGGAAACUGGGGCUAAUACCGGAUAGGAGCUCCUGCUGCAUGGUGGGGGAUGGAAAGUUUCGGCGGUUGGGGAUGGACUCGCGGCUUAGUAGCUGGUUGGUGGGGUAGUGGCUUACCCAGGCUUCGACGGGUAGCCUGCGUGAGCGGCUGACCGGCCACAUGGGAACUGGGCCACGGACAAGACGCCUGCGAGACGGAGCAGUCGGGAACGGGAGGCAAUGGGGGGAAAUCUGACCCAGCGAGCGGGCGCGUGGGACGGAGGCGCUGGGUGCGGAAUGCCGGCCUUUGGGUGAAGAACCGCUUUGGCCUGAGACGAAGCGGGAGUGACGGUAAUGGGUAAAGAAGCACCGGCUAACUACGUG
rnacentral:rRNA from 1 species